rnacentral:rRNA from 1 species
GGCGGCAGGCCUAACACAUGCAAAGUCGAGCGGCAGCACGGGUACUUGUACCUGGUGGCGAGCGGCGGACGGGUGAGUAAUGCCUAGGAAUCUGCCUGGUAGUGGGGGAUAACGCUCGGAAACGGACGCUAAUACCGCAUACGUCCUACGGGAGAAAGCAGGGGACCUUCGGGCCUUGCGCUAUCAGAUGAGCCUAGGUCGGAUUAGCUAGUUGGUGAGGUAAUGGCUCACCAAGGCGACGAUCCGUAACUGGUCUGAGAGGAUGAUCAGUCACACUGGAACUGAGACACGGUCCAGACUCCUACGGGAGGCAGCAGUGGGGAAUAUUGGACAAUGGGCGAAAGCCUGAUCCAGCCAUGCCGCGUGUGUGAAGAAGGUCUUCGGAUUGUAAAGCACUUUAAGUUGGGAGGAAGGGCAGUUACCUAAUACGUAUCUGUUUUGACGUUACCGACAGAAUAAGCACCGGCUAACU